rnacentral:rRNA from 1 species
UACGGAGGGGGCGAGCGUUAUUCGGAAUUAUUGGGCGUAAAGCGCGCGUAGGCGGCUUUGCAAGUCGGGUGUGAAAUCCCCAGGCUUAACCUGGGAACUGCAUUCGAGACUGCAUUGCUAGAGUAUGGGAGAGGGAAGUGGAAUUUACGGUGUAGCGGUGAAAUGCGUAGAUAUCGUAAGGAAGACCAGUGGCGAAGGCGGGUCUCUGGACAGUUCCUGACGCUGAGGCACGAAGGUCAGGGGAGCAAACGGG